UACGUAGGGUGCAAGCGUUAAUCGGAAUUACUGGGCGUAAAGCGUGCGCAGGCGGUUAUAUAAGUCAGAUGUGAAAUCCCUGGGCUCAACCUAGGAACUGCAUUUGAGACUGUGUGGCUAGAGUGCGUCAGAGGGGGGUAGAAUUCCACGUGUAGCAGUGAAAUGCGUAGAGAUGUGGAGGAAUACCGAUGGCGAAGGCAGCCCCCUGGGAUAACACUGACGCUCAUGUACGAAAGCGUGGGUAGCAAACAGG
rnacentral:rRNA from 1 species